rnacentral:rRNA from 1 species
AACGAGCGCAACCCUUGUCUUUAGUUGCCAUCAUUAAGUUGGGCACUCUAGAGAGACUGCCAGGGAUAACCUGGCGGAAGGUGGGGAUGACGCCAAAUCAUCAUGCCCCUUAUGCUUAGGGCUACACCCGUGCUACAAUGGGUAGUACCGAGGGUUGCCAAGCCGUCAGGUGGCGCUAACCCCUUCAAGCUACUCUCAGUUC